rnacentral:lncRNA from 1 species
UGCCGCCCUUCUCCGAAGACUCAGGGCGGCUUACAAUUUUUGGGAUACAACCCAGUGUGCUCAGCAAUCUUAAGUCCGAGUCACUUGAUUUACUUCCGAGUAAGGCUAUACACGCAAACACUAAGCCACCCUGGCACCUUGUGCCCGCGAAACACAGGCCAUCCAAUAGCUUCACCCCCCUUAAUUUGGAAGAGGAUUAGCUCUUUUACGGGGUCAUAAUAGCCGGAGGUAGAGCUCAACCCGCCUAGUGGGCUUCAGUUGGGAGUCUGUUAAUUAACUGGUGUAAUUUUGGGGUGUUUUGAAGGGUUUUUGGAGCUGCUACCUCCGGGCCUCUUGAUGCCUUCUUAAGCAAGGUUAAUUAACUUCAGUGGGUUUGAGCUGUUUAAUUACAAAGGGCUGAUGUAAUAAAUGAUAAGGGACAGUUCCUGGAAAAUGAAAUCAAUGAAAUGUAAUAACUUAGAACACAGGAUGAGCACUGGUACUGAGCAUAAACUUCAUAGGUUUGCAAUUUCACAUGAUGAUUAUUAAAUGUUUGGCUUGAAAAUAUGCACAGCCAGCCUGAAAAAUAAGAGCUGAGGUAAAGUUUCAUGUUGACUUUUGUAGAAAACUAAUGAAAACAUUUACAUACGUAAGCAUAUAUUGUUUUCAAUGUAUACAGGUAGUCAUAAAAUGAGAACUGGAGUGAAUCAAAUACACAAUUCAUUAAACAAUGUUUCCAAAACAUCUGGUCCUGAAUUGCAGUUUGUUUGUUUUUUACAGAAUUUGAUUUGACAAUAGAUCUAAGCCCAAGCAACUGAAUGUACAGACAAUGUUUCAUGAAGAGCUAAUGAUGUUUCCACAAGACAAUCUGUGGAAGAAUCAAGAAUCCUACAAAAGCAAUAGAAAGAUACCAGCUCUCGUCGCUACCUUUCUGGAACCUGGAGAAAAGUUGAUGCCCAAAAUAGGAGUAGGAUGACCAGUUGAAAAGGAAUUCAGAAGCCAAAAACACAAAUAUAGGGAGAAAAAUUGCUCUGAUUGAGGUUGGCUAGAGAUCAGAAGGGAGAGAGGUUCUCUAUCUUUCAGCUCUGAUGAUACAUGAGAAUUCGUGUAAUCAAGAGGAAAAAGGUUUCAGGGCAUGUUGUUAUCACAACAAACUGCAAAUAUUGUAGGAGCAGAGUGAGAAAUGUACCUUAGAGACAGAAACCUAACUCUAGCAGCAAACAGCAACCUUAGCCACCCAAUCCCAAAGCUCUAUUAGUAGAAAUUGGAUAUAUACUUUUCUGAGAUGUAAUAGAAGGCUUGGAUCUAUACGAACCUUACUUGUACGACUCUUCUAAAGUCAUUCAGGAACUGGGAACAAUGUGUACUACCGGUAUAUCAGACUCCAUGUUACGAUGUCACUCCCAUUGCAACAAAUGGGAAAGAACUUCUAUAAUGAAAAAAUAUACACUAAAUAUAUUUUAUGUGCAGUAUUUUGUGGUUUCCUGGUUACUAAUUCUUUAAGGUAUGCCAGCUCAAGGUAUCUGAUUGAGAAGUAAGACAAUUGUGGUUUAUAAUCUACAAUAGCUGGUGUCAUACAACAUGCUAAGCAAAUAUUUAAAAGCCAUUUUAAGAUUUAGUGCAAUAUGUGAAUUCAGCAGUGUACAAUAAAUACCAGAUACUGGUGCCCUCAUCAAAAGUUU